AGAGGCUUAGGAUAAAAUGUAAACCAAGAGCCUUCAAAGCUCUAAAUGGAGGUGAAAAUCCCCCAGCCCCUG
rnacentral:tRNA from 1 species